CAGGCUCCGUCGUGUGCAUGGCGGCACGUUCUUCUCUGCUGACCCUGCUGCAAGAAAUGACCCAGCUACCUGGAACAGAAACCUCAGAGUCUCAGGAAGCAGCUGCAGAAGCCUCUGAGAAUGUGGGCAGCAAGGGGUUUUCUGGAAGGUGCUCUCAGCAUCCCCAAGUCCUAUGCACAGCGGAGAACCCUCCAAGUAUGGAGAAAAAGGCCCGUUCUGUACUGUAAAGACAUGGAUUCGAGCAGCCAAAGAAGGAGAAGAAACGAAUGCCAACAUACUUUCCCUCCAGCAAACUGAAGGGAAAGUAAAUUUGAAGCUGAGUGUGAACAGUAACCAGCUCAUGUGGGGAGACACCAACUUGUCAAAUGGAAGGAGGCCCUUUGAAGUGUGGAGAUAAGGACCUUUCUAGCCUUCAGUCAUAUCUGAAAGCCAUUUCCAGCCCAGCAGAGGAACGUGUCAUUCAGCUGGAUUGGGUUUGCCUAUGUUGUACAGAGGAAUGGACAAGCGGAGUUGGUGCAGAUUCCCCUGUCUGGUUGGCAUCGGCAGCUGGAUUAUCAAGAUGUCUUGACAAAGUACUUCUGCACAGUAUUUUUCAUGUAAUCAAAAGCUGUUAGCACUGAAAUAUCUUCCCCAGAAAGGAUUCUCCUGAGCUGCACACCGUGACUGCUGCCUUGACAUUCUCCCGAGCUGACAUCCCGACCGGUAUGACACUGAUGCCUUUGGGCAGAAAUCAGAGCCGGUUUGCUCCAUGCCUCUGCGUAGCCACGAUGCCUGUAGCGCCUCUGAGAGCCCCCAGUGCCCUGGUGGGGAAAUGGAGCGAGCACGUGGGCCCCAAAUGAACUCCAGGAAGAGAUUAUCCACAGGCAUUAUCCACAGCGAUCUUGCUACCCAUUUCCAGUUUAAAGUGCUAUUCGCAUUCAGACCUCCAGCAACUGUUGAAGAGGAAGGGUGGUCUUCUGGCUGAGUCAUUACCCAGAGCUGUGAGACCUGAUUCAGCUGAAAUGAGAGCAGG